UCGAUGUCGUACUUGCCAGUUUGUGCCUUUGAGGCGUGAGCUUCGCGCAGCUAACGCGAUAAAUCGACCGCCUGGGGAGUACGGCCGCAAGGUUAAAACUCAAAUGAAUUGACGGGGGCCCGCACAAGCGGUGGAGCAUGUGGUUUAAUUCGAUGCAACGCGAAGAACCUUACCUGGUCUUGACAUCCAAAAAACUUUCCAGAGAUGGAUUGGUGCCUUCGGGAACUGUGAUACAGGUGCUGCAUGGCUGUCGUCAGCUCGUGUUGUGAAAUGUUGGGUUAAGUCCCGCAACGAGCGCAACCCUUAUCCUUUGUUGCCAGCGGUUCGGACGGGAACUCUAAGGAGACUGCCAGUGAUAAACUGGAGGAAGGUGGGGAUGACGUCAAGUCAUCAUGGCCCUUACGACCAGGGCUACACACGUGCUACAAUGGCGCAUACAAAGGGAAGCGACCUCGCGAGAUCAUGCGGACCUCAUAAAGUGCAUCGUAGUCCGGAUUGGAGUCUGCAACUCGACUCCAUGAAGUCGGAAUCGCUAGUAAUCGUGGAUCAGAAUGCCACGGUGAAUACGUUCCCGGGCCUUGUACACACCGCCCGUCACACCAUGGGGAGUGGGUUGCACCAGAAGUAGGUAGCUUAACCGUCGGGAGGGCGCUUACCACUUUGUGAUUCAUGACUGGGGGUGAAGUCUA
rnacentral:rRNA from 1 species